GGCCCACUCUUGUGAUCAUGGGGUGGGCAGCAGUUGGCAUGUGUAAGGAGUCAUUCCCCAACAUAAAGACAGAUAUUAGGCCAAAAUCAUUGACAAAUACUAUACCAUGUAUGCUCUUUUAGGGAAUAUAACACUUGAGAAAUGUGAACUUUCUGUCAAGAUUUCACUAAUCUAGCUUAAUGUGAGAUGAUCAAAACUUUGUUUUUGAAGUAUCAGCAGUAUCAGUAAUUCUGUGAAAUAAUCUGAACUCAUUUGGAGAAAUCAAGUGAGAAUUUCCUAUUUAUUUUUAUGUUACCUUCACAAGGGCCAUAGCAAAAGAUUAUAAAUAAAAUGGCAAUCCUUUUCUGAUUGGCUGGGGUGGAUGACAGACAGUAUUUCAGUUUGGUCACUUCUCUGAAAGGCUUCCCAGGUGGCUCAGUGGUAAAGAAUCCACCUGCCAAUACAGGAGACGAGUUGGGAAGGUCUCACUGGAAGAUGAAAUGGCAACCCACUGCAGUAUUAUUGCCCGGAGAAUCCCAUGGACAGAGGAGCCUGGUGGGUUUCAGUCCAUGGGGUCACAAAAGAGUUGGAUGGGACUUAGCAACUGACCACAUACACUUCCCUGAAGCAGGGGGUGGGGUCAAAGCUCAGAUGAGGGGGCACUCUAAAGAAAUAGAACACUAGAAGAAAGGGGGAUGGCUCAUCUUUCUCUAGAGGUCAUUCUGGAAAAGGGACUGAGUAGAGAGUGUGGUGAUGAGGAAAAAUAAAAUUACAUUGUGAAGCAAAUCUCUAAUUCAAAAGUUGAAAUUUCAGUGUUAUCAGAUACUGAGUAUAAGAGAACAAUGGGGAGAGUUAAACAUUCUGUGGGGAGUGUAGCAGGAGAAACAAGGACAGACUUACCAAGGAGCAAAGGAAGAUAAUGCAGAGGAAGGAAAAGUGAAUUAGAAGAGAGAGCGGGGCUAGGAUAAUAGCUAACACCUGCUGAUUAGUUAUCUGUGUCAGGAAACGUCCUCUGUGUUUGCAUGAACUAUUAUAUUUACACUACAUAGUAUAAAUGAGGUAAGUACUUUUAAUAUUCACAUUUCGUAGAUAGGAAAUCGAGGCCUAGAGAGGUGAAGGAACGCAGCUGGUAAGAAUUAGAGCCUCAGUUGGAACUCAGGCUGUCUGAGUCCAGUGUUUGCACUCACUGCCACAUAAAUAUGAGAGAGAAUUCAAAGAGGAAUAGUAGGGGGAAAAGAACAGACUACAAAGGUUUGUCUUAGGGCCAAAAAUGUCUUUAGAGAGAGUGAUGACUGCGUAUAGAACCAAAUGCAGGGAGUUGUAAAGUCUAUGGAACUCUGCAUAUUAUAAAAAUGAGAAAGGAUGUCAGUCUGGCUUAAAGUCAGACAGUGACUCAGUUACUCUAAAGAGGAAGAUUAGCAGUCAAAGUGAAAAUCAUAUGGUUUGUUUAUAACACAUAGGAUAUUUAAAAUGACUUCAUGGUGUUUUUAAUGUUAUUAUUUCGAAAACCUGAUUAGAAUUCAACCAAACUGUCUUGGUUGAGUUAUUCUUAAAGACAACUCUUAAAAGAAAAAGAAAAA
ensembl:lncRNA